GUAGUCAGUCAAACUACUUAGGUCACACCCGUUCCCAUGCCGAACACGGAAGUUAAGCUCUUCAGCGCCGAUGGUAGUCGGGGGUUUCCCCCUGUGAGAGUAGGACGCCGCCAAGC
rnacentral:rRNA from 1 species